UAUGUUAUGUAUUUAUUUAAUAAACGGCUGCUGUGGCCGAUUAAAUCCAAGCAGUAGUGUUGUGUAUUUAUUUUAAGAGGUAGGUGGUGAGGCAGGUAAGAUAUGAUGUUAAGGGACCGAACAGUUAGCCAAUUCCCUCUUCAUGUGUAUACUGUGUAAGUGUGCAC